GAGUUUGAUCUUGGCUCAGAUUGAACGCUGGCGGCAUGCCUUACACAUGCAAGUCGAACGGCAGCACGGGAGCUUGCUCCUGGUGGCGAGUGGCGAACGGGUGGGUAAUGCAUCGGAACGUAUCCUGGAGUGGGGGAUAACGUAGCGAAAGUUACGCUAAUACCGCAUAUUCUGUGAGCAGGAAAGCGGGGGACCUUCGGGCCUCGCGCUCUUGGAGCGGCCGAUGUCGGAUUAGCUAGUUGGUGAGGUAAAGGCUCACCAAGGCGACGAUCCGUAGCAGGUCUGAGAGGAUGAUCUGCCACACUGGAACUGAGACACGGUCCAGACUCCUACGGGAGGCAGCAGUGGGGAAUUUUGGACAAUGGGGGCAACCCUGAUCCAGCCAUGCCGCGUGAGUGAAGAA
rnacentral:rRNA from 1 species